GACGGAGGAUGCAAGCGUUAUCCGGAAUUAUUGGGCGUAAAGCGUCCGCAGGUGGCUGUUCAAGUCUGCUGUCAAAGCGCAGAGCUUAACUCUGUACAGGCGGUGGAAACUGAAGAGCUAGAGUAUGGUAGGGGUAGAGGGAAUUCCCGGUGUAGCGGUGAAAUGCGUAGAUAUCGGGAAGAACACCAGUGGCGAAAGCGCUCUACUGGGCCAUAACUGACACUGAGGGACGAAAGCUAGGGGAGCGAAAAGG
rnacentral:rRNA from 1 species